AGACCCAUCAAGCCUGGCUUGGUAUUGGGCGUCGGGUCGACCACCCGCGCCUCCAUUCUCUCGGCUGGACGGUUAGAAUCUCAGCGUUGUGCAAUCAAUUCGCUAGGGAGGACCGCCGGACGCGCCGUUAAAUCCCAUUAAA
rnacentral:misc_RNA from 1 species